UCGGCUCUGAAGGGAAGCAGCUCCCUGCUGAGGAGRGGACAGCUGGAAGCUGGGAGGCUCCUGGGAGGGCGAAAACUUUGGUAAUCCACUCAGAAUUUCUGGAGGCAGCCACGGGCUGGAUGUCAGGAUUGACAGGAAGGUUUUGAGCGCGCUGGAAUCGUGCAGCCCCUCCCUCUGYGUCGCUGCUCGCCCCACCUGCUCCUCGUCCUUGGAUCCACUCCAUCCUGACCUUCUCCACGGAAGGAACAAGAAGGGAGCAUCUUUACAAUCAAACUGGGACUCUGAGGGAAAACAUGGAAAUGAAAUUGGAAGCACGACACGGCUGCAGCUCUGCCCGGGAGAUUUCCACAGGAGAGCCAGGCAGGAGGGGCAAAGCUGAGACAUUUCCU